AUGCAGACCUGGUACCUUUGGUUAGAAAAGGAGGACUUUCUUGAAAGAUCUAUUUCUAUCCUUCUAAUCAGUUUAGCUUUGAAUACUUUAGAAUUUGCUAAGAGUAUGGAUGAAAAGACUUUUCUUUUUUUUCACCAGCUUUCUAUCCUCUCAGCAGGGCACAAGCAUGGGGCCGUUACAAGAGAUGUGGUAGAUGAUCAUCCUCAAUUCUGUCUCAUGCUGUGUGCAUGCAAUGCUGGUGGAAAUGCAGCCAGCAUGUCCCACCAACACUUUGCAAAGAUGUCAGUAUUAAUUGUCACCAUCCUCCAGGGAGUAAAGUGCCCCGAAAUAAAUUGCAUAGCAUCGAAAAGGGAUUCUACUCCUGAGAACUAUUUUUAAUGUUGUAAGGCUGAAAAAUAUAUUCCAAGGAAAGUCCAACUAAGAUGCUGGGAGAGAGACCAGUAAGAGCCCAGGCCAUUGUUACUGUCGGUAGGUCACUUCUCUGAUUUAGAUAGUGUGAAACACAGAUUAGCAAUAAAAGAGAUCUAUAAAAGAGCUGAUUGCAUAUUUCAUUAAACUGGUAGUGAAGCUGAUCAUAAAAUUUAAUAUUAGGAGGAAGUGGAAUAAUUGGAGCAGAAUUAAAGUAACUGUUAUUAAAAACUUAAAUUUAGUCUUCAAAGCCCCUCACCAACUGCCCUGCUAUCCUGUCCCUUAUCAAACUCCUUACUUCAUUUCUUUUUCCUUUUUCUUUUCUUUCUUUUUUUUUUUUUUCUUUUUCUUUUUUGAGACGAAGUCUCACUCUGUCACCCAGACUGGAGUGCAGUGGCACCAUCUUGGCUCACUGCAACCUCUGCCUCCCGGGUUCAAGUAAUUCUCCUGCCUCAGCCUCCUGAGUAGCUGGGAUUAGAGGCAUACACCACCCUGCCUGGCUAAUUUUUGUAUUUUUAGUAGAGACUGUGUUUCACCAUGUUGGCCAGGUUGGUCUCGAACUCCUGACCUUGUGAUCUGCCCGCCUUGGCCUCCCAAAGUGCUGGGAUUACAGGUAUGAGCCACUGUGCCCAGCCCAUUACUUUUCAUUUGCUUAAAAAACUGCUAUAUUCUUCAGGUUAAUUUUCCUUCUCUACCUACAGCUUAUUUUCUUUGCCCAGGCUGUUUUCUUUACCUUCCUUCUCUUAUCUCUUUUAUCCCAUUCUGAUUACAUCCUUCCCAAACUGGUGGAAAGCAUUCUUCAGCAGUUUCCCUUGAGUAACCCCUUCUGGGAUUCAAGGGAGCCCCAGGAUGAACACUGCUCUUCCCCAGCUGAGUUCUGAUGCAUUUGAGAAAUCCACAGAAGUAGGACAGAUGAAGGUCAAAGGCUGAUCUUUAUUCUGAUUUGACUGAUGCUGGAGAGAGUAGCACGUGAGAUGUGAAAUGUACAAUCCAGAAUCAGAAAGAUGUGUCCAUCUCUUCACAGGCAGAGCUGCCCCUAGCAAGAACAUGCCCCUGCCAAACCUAGAGUGAAGUGCAUGUUUUUGGUGAGCAGGCGGCUCCCUCCCAAGAGAAGGAGGAAGUGACAGAGCUACGCAAACCCACUUCCACAUCCCAAAUUCAUCAAUUGAGGAGGAGGCUGUGGGUGGAGAGAGGCUAGGAGAGUUUUGCAAAUGGGGCAUCCCCUACAUGGAACAGCAAGCAACAUCUGGAGUGGGGUAAGUACUAUUUCUCCAAAUGCACCCCCAUUUAAAAAUUUUUCUUCAGGGGCUUGUUCUAUGGUGUCAUAUUUUCACAUACAAUGACUCAGUGGGAUUCAGUCAGGGAAGCAGAGUCAUUAAGAGUAAUAAGGGAUAAGGGGUUUAUUACAGAUAUUAGACCUUACAUAACUGUGGAAGGAGCUGGAGAUGUGGAAUCUUAGGGGAGGAGCUGAGGAUCAGAAAAUAGUCACUACCUGUCCAUCCUGAAGCAUGAGGAUACUUCACAGCCUGAGGAGGAAGUCUGAGAAGCCAGGACGUCAGCUGCCACAAUGGGACCGUAACUGGGAAGCUGUUGCCCCUGAGUAGCUGCUGCCUCUGUGGUUCUGCCAUUAAGCUUCUGGUGGCAGACUCAGGGCUGCUGUGGUCAGCAGUGGCUUGAGCAGUGGUCACCAGCCGAGGAGAAGAACUGAACCAAGGCAGAGGAGAAUGAGGACAAGCUAGGACCCUCCUGGCACCUCUGAUCAGUCUGUCACCUCAUCUAGUGGAAAAGCAUUGAGAAUCACGGAUGCUGCUUCUUUUUCAUCUCCUUGGCUAACUCUAGCCUGGAAUUAUAUAGGGGAGGGGAUUCCAGCAAAAGUAGUUCCAAG
rnacentral:lncRNA from 1 species